GAUGAACGCUGGCGGCGUGCUUAACACAUGCAAGUCGAACGGGAAACCUUUUAUUUAAUCUUCGGCAGAUUUUGCUGGCGUCUAGUGGCGGACUGGGGAGUAACGCGUGUGUAACCUGCCUUAUACUGGGGGAUAACAACCAGACAUCGUUACUAAAAAUGCAUCAGCGCAUAGGCUUGCAUGGUCCGGUGUGAACAACACCGGUGGGACCUGAGGGAUGUGCGCUGGAUUAGCGAGUAGGAAGGGUACCGGCAUACCAAGGCGACGAUGCAUAGCCGGCACGGGAGCACGACCGGGAACACUGGGAGUGAGACAAGGACCAGACUCCUAGGGAAGGAAGCAGUUGGGAAUAAUGCACAAUGGGGGAGACACUGAUGCAGCGACGCCGCGUGAAGGAAGUAGUAUCUCGGUAUGUGAACGUCUAUCAGCAGGGAAGAUAGUGACGGUACCUGACUAAGAAGCCCCGGCUAACUACGUG
rnacentral:rRNA from 1 species